rnacentral:rRNA from 2 species
ACUAACAAGGAUUCCCCUAGUAACUGCGAGUGAAGCGGGAAAAGCUCAAAUUUAAAAUCUGGCGGCUUUGGUCGUCCGAGUUGUAUUCUAGAGAAGCGUUUUCCGCGCUGGACCGUGUACAAGUCUCUUGGAACAGAGCGUCAUAGAGGGUGAGAAUCCCGUCUUUGACACGGACUACCAGUGCUUUGUGAUGCGCUCUCAAAGAGUCGAGUUGUUUGGGAAUGCAGCUCAAAAUGGGUGGUAAAUUCCAUCUAAAGCUAAAUAUUGGCGAGAGACCGAUAGCGAACAAGUACCGUGAGGGAAAGAUGAAAAGCACUUUGGAAAGAGAGUUAAACAGUACGUGAAAUUGCUGAAAGGGAAACGCUUGAAGUCAGUCGCGUUGGUUAGAACUCAACCAGGCUUGCUUGGUGCAUUUUCUAUUCAACGGGCCAGCAUCAGUUUUGACUGUAGGAAAAAGAUCAGAGAAAUGUGGCACCUUCGGGUGUGUUAUAGUCUUUGGUUGCAUACUAUGGUUGGGACUGAGGAUCUCAGCACGCAUCUGUUGUGCUUAGGAUGCUGGCGUAAUGGCUUUAAACGACCCGUCUUGAAACACGGACCAAGGAGUCUAACAAACCUGCGAGUGUUUGGGUGGUAAACCCGAGCGCGUAAUGAAAGUGAAAGUUGGGAUCCCUGUCGCGGGGAGCACCGACGCCCGGACCAGACCUUCUGUGACGGAUCUGCGGUAGAGCAUGUUUGUUGGGACCCGAAAGAUGGUGAACUAUGCCUGAAUAGGGUGAAGCCAGAGGAAACUCUGGUGGAGGCUCGUAGCGAUUCUGACGUGCAAAUCGAUCGUCAAAUUUGGGUAUA